rnacentral:rRNA from 1 species
AGUGAACGCUGGCGGUAGGCCUAACACAUGCAAGUCGAACGGCAGCACAGUAAGAGCUUGCUCUUACGGGUGGCGAGUGGCGGACGGGUGAGGAAUACAUCGGAAUCUUCUUUUUCGUGGGUGAUAGCGUAGGGAAACUUACGCUAAUACCGCAUACGACCUACGGGUUAAAGCAGUGGAUCUUCGGACCUUUCGCGAUUGAAUGAGCCGAUUUCGGAUUAGCUAGUUGGCGGGGUAAAGGCCCACCAAGGCGACGAUCCGUAGCUGGUCUGAGAGGAUGAUCAGCCACACUGGAACUGAGACACGGUCCAGACUCCUACGGGAGGCAGCAGUGGGGAAUAUUGGACAAUGGGCGCAAGCCUGAUCCAGCCAUACCGCGUGGGUGAAGAAGGCCUUCGGGUUGUAAAGCCCUUUUGUUGGGAAAGAAAAGCAGCAGGUUAAUACCCCGCUGUUCUGACGGUACCCAAAGAAUAAGCACCGGCUAACUUCGUG